UACCAGCUGUGACGGCAGUAAAUGACGAUAGUUGCUAAUCGAAACUCCAUAUUUGAGUCCAAUCUCAUCAACAAUGAAGCGGCAUCAAAAUCAAGCUCAGCACCGGGAACUAGUACUAAUCCUGCUGCCGACGACGAUGACCUUGACACCAGCUUUAGUAGUACAGAGCCUGUAGACCCAUUGGAUGAAAGAUUUCACCCUGGAAAAAUCUCAAGUUCAACAUCAUCUGACUUUGAAGCAAGCCAAGACAGCCAAAGGAGUCUUGAAGUACAUAAAAAUGUUCUGCAAGAGGUCGAAGCAGUGGGUGGUGAAGAACAUCGCCACAGCGCCAACACCUGCUAAACCAGCUGCCAUUAUCCAACACAAGAAGAGGUUCACCAGCUAAAUACAAUUUUGUAACCUGCCUGGAACAUUCAACGGACACAACAUCCAUAUUCAGUUAGACUGAUGUUGUAGUAUAACAUAGAAUGCCUAAUAUGCUCACAACUGUGGUAUACACUGAGUGUA